CCUACGGGUGGCAGCAGUGGGGAAUAUUGGGCAAUGGGCGCAAGCCUGACCCAGCAACGCCGCGUGAAGGAAGAAGGCUUUCGGGUUGUAAACUUCUUUUCUCAGGGACGAAGCAAGUGACGGUACCUGAGGAAUAAGCCACGGCUAACUACGUGCCAGCAGCCGCGGUAAUACGUAGGGGGCAAGCGUUAUCCGGAUUUACUGGGUGUAAAGGGCGUGGAGGCGGGAAAGCAAGUCAGAUGUGAAAACCAUGGGCUCAACCUGUGGCCUGCAUUUGAAACUGUUUUUCUUGAGUACUGGGGAGGCAGACGGAAUUCCUAGUGUAGCGGUGAAAUGCGUAGAUAUUAGGAGGACCACUAGUGGCGAAGGCGGUCUGCUGGACAGCACCUGACGCUGAGGCGCGAAAGCGUGGGGAGCAAACAGGAUUAGAUACCCCAGUAGUC
rnacentral:rRNA from 1 species